rnacentral:rRNA from 1 species
UACGAAGGGGGCUAGCGUUGUUCGGAAUUACUGGGCGUAAAGGGCUCGUAGGUGGCCAACUAAGUCAGACGUGAAAUCCCUCGGCUUAACCGGGGAACUGCGUCUGAUACUGGAUGGCUUGAGUUUGGGAGAGGAAUGCGGAAUUCCAGGUGUAGCGGUGAAAUGCGUAGAUAUCUGGAGGAACACCGGUGGCGAAGGCGGCAUUCUGGACCAACACUGACGCUGAGGAGCGAAAGCCAGGGGAGCAAACGGG